GACGUAGGGCGCAAGCGUUGUCCGGAUUUAUUGGGCGUAAAGAGCUCGUAGGCGGCUUGUUGCGUCGUCCGUGAAAACCUGUGGCUCAACUACAGGCUUGCGGUCGAUACGGGCGGGCUGGAGUUCGGUAAAAGAGACUGGAAUUCCUGGUGUAGCGGUGAAAUGCGCAGAUAUCGGGAGGAACACCAAUAGCGAAGGCAGCUCGCUGGGACGUUACUGACACUGAGGCGCGAAAGCGUGGGGAGCGAACAGG
rnacentral:rRNA from 1 species